rnacentral:misc_RNA from 1 species
UAGGGAGACCUAAUCCAUUUAGAAAUCGAAAGCAGUGAAAAUUGUGGGUAGAAACUAAAUUGGUCUAACCUAGGUCGGUCGAGAUUGGUAGAUAUCUUUCAAAGUAUUAUUCGGCUUAGUUCAAAACUUGAAGCAUCAUAAAUGGGAAAAACACAGCAACUGAAACUAUGAUCAUAGUUUUUGACUGCUGGGUGAGAUUCCAGCCAGAACCUUGAAAACUGCAUAAGAGAACGAGAAAAAGCAGGCAGACACAGACAUUUGAAUGGAUGUGAAAGCAAAGAAAAAUUGUGGUCAAGCUAAUAAGGGC